AACCUAAUACCGAAAGAAAGAAAAGAAAAGAAAAGAUCACUGAUUGAAGUGGACAGCGGUGGCUUGUUGUAAGGACUUUACGUACAUAUCGCAUGGUUUUAACGCCGUGCAACCAUGCUCAAUUAGUUCUGAAGGGCGUUUCCUGCCCGCUGAAGAACAGAGCCACUUCCCGGGCCCUAUAUAGGUCAAAAACAAAGAGAAGUUCUCCUGCAAUUUCUGGAAAGCAAUUGUCAAUAACGUAGAGAAUCUAGAGAUCAGAUGCUCACUUCGGUAAAGAAUAUUCAGAAAACCUGUCUGUGGAAGGAGUUGAAUUCAUCUAAAUAUGACGGUUGAAAUUUUUAAGCUGUUAUUUUAGUAGUUACUUGAAAUUAACGGGGAGUUUUUGUAAAAAAUAAAAUAAAAUUAAUGGAA
rnacentral:sRNA from 2 species